AUACCCAUAAUGAUUAGCUGCAUGUUGGAAUUACCGCUAGAUUUUGAAGUGAUGACAAUUUAUGCUGCUUUCUGAGGUUUUAA
rfam:Triticum urartu cultivar G1812 contig1172565, whole genome shotgun sequence.